rnacentral:rRNA from 1 species
UACAGAGGGUGCGAGCGUUGUUCGGAUUUAUUGGGCGUAAAGAGCGUGUAGGCGGCCAGACAGGUCCGUUGUGAAAACUCGAGGCUCAACCUCGAGACGCCGAUGGAAACCGUCUGGCUAGAGUCCGGAAGAGGAGAGUGGAAUUCCUGGUGUAGCGGUGAAAUGCGCAGAUAUCAGGAAGAACACCCGUGGCUAAGGCGGCUCUCUAGUACGGUACUGACGCUGAGACGCGAAAGCGUGGGGAGCGAACAGG